rnacentral:rRNA from 1 species
AACGAACGCUGGCGGCGCGCCUAAUACAUGCAAGUCGAGCGAGAAGGUGUAGCAAUACACUUGUAAAGCGGCGAACGGGUGAGGAAUGCAUGGGUAACCUACCCUCGAGUGGGGAAUAACUAGCCGAAAGGUUAGCUAAUACCGCAUACGCCCUGAGGGGGAAAUGGGGGAUCGCAAGACCUCACGUUAUUGGAGCGGCCGAUAGCUGAUUAGCUAGUUGGAGGGUAAAGCCCACAAGGCGACGAUCAGUAGCUGGUCUGAGAGGACGGCCAGCCACACUGGAACUGAGAGACGGACCUAGGACUCCUACGGGAGGCAGCAGUGGGGAAUUUUGGACAAUGGGGGCAACCCUGAGUCCAGCAAUGCCGCGUGAGUGAAGAAGGCC